rfam:TPA: Bos taurus chromosome 14, whole genome shotgun sequence.
UCCCAGGUGGCUCAGUGGUAAAGAAUCUGCCUGCCAAUGCAGAAGAUUCAGGUUCAAUCCCUGGGUUAGGAA